UGUCGUUCAUUCUGUUCCCCCACCUGGAAUACCCCCUCCUCCUCUCCCUCCUCCCCCUCCCCCUCCCCCUCUUCCUCUUCCCCCCUCCCUCCUUCCCCCCUCCUCUCCCCCUCUCCCCUCCUCCCCCUUUCCUCCUUCCCCUCCCCCUCUCCCGUCUCCCCCCUCCCCCUCCUCUCCCCCCUCCCCCUCCCCCUCUCCCGUCUCCCCCCUCCCCCUCUUCCUCUCCCCCCUCCCUCCUUCCCCCCUCCUCUCCCCCUCUCCCCUCCCCCUCCUCUCCCCCCUCCCUCCUCCCCCUCCCCCUCCCCAUCCUCCCCCUCUCCCUCCUCCCCCUCCUCCCCCUCCCCCUUUCCCUCCUUCCCCCCUCCCUCCUUCCCCCCUCCCCCUCCUCCCCCUCUCCCUCCUCCCCCUUUCCCUCCUUCCCCUCCCCCUCUCCCUUCUCCCCCUCCUCCCCCUCUCCCUCCCCCUCCUCCCCCUCCCCCUCCCCUCUUCCUCUUCCCCCCUCCCUCCUUCCCCUCCCCCUCCCCCUCCCCUCUUCCUCUUCCCCCCUCCCUCCUCCCCCUUUCCCUCCUUCCCCUCCCCCUUUCGCUCCUUCCCCUCCCCCUCUCCCUUCUCCCCCCUCCCCCUCCUCCCCCUCUCCCUCCUCCCCCUCCCCCUCCCCCUCUUCCUCUUCCCCCCUCCUCCUUCCCCCCUCCUCUCCCCCUCUCCUCCUCCCCCUUUCCUCCUUCCCCUCCCCCUCUCCCUUCUCCCCCUCCUCCCCCUCCCUCCUCCCCCUCCCCCUCCCCUCUUCCUCUUCCCCCCUCCCUCCUUCCCCCCUCCUCCCCCUCCUCUCCCCCCUCCCCCUUUCCUCCUUCCCCUCCCCCUUUCCCUCCUUCCCCUCCCCCUCUCCCUUCUCCCCCCUCCCCCUCCUCCCCCUCUCCCUCCUCCCCCUCCCCCUCUUCCUCUCCCCCCUCCCUCCUUCCCCCCUCCCUCCUCCCCCUCUCCCUCCUCCCCCUUUCCCUCCUUCCCCUCCCCCUCUCCCGUCUCCCCCCUCCCCCUCCUCCCCCUCCCUCCUCCCCCUCCCCCUCCCCCUCUUCCUCUUCCCCCCUCCCUCCUUCCCCCCUCCUCUCCCCCCUCCCUCCUCCCCCUCUCCCCCUCUCCUCCUCCCCCUUUCCCUCCUUCCCCUCCCCCUCUCCCUUCUCCCCCUCCUCCCCCUCCCCCUCCCCCUCCUCCCCCUCCCCCUCCCCCUCCCCUCUUCCUCUUCCCCCCUCCCUCCUUCCCCCCUCCUCUCCCCCCUCCCCUCUUCCUCUCCCCCCUCCCCUCUUCCUCUUCCCCCCUCCCUCCUUCCCCUCCCCCUCCUUCCCCCCUCCUUCCCCUCCCCCUCUCCCUUCUCCCCCCUCCCCCUCCUCCCCCUCUCCCUCCUCCCCCUCCCCCUCCCCCUCUUCCUCUUCCCCCCUCCCUCCUUCCCCCCUCCCUCCUCCCCCUCCCCCUCCUCCUCCCCCUUUCCCUCCUUCCCCCUCCCCCUCCCCCUCCUCUCCCCCCUCCCUCCUUCCCCCCUCCCUCCUCCCCCUCCCCCUCCCCCUCUUCCUCUUCCCCCCUCCCUCCUUCCCCCCUCCUCUCCCCCUCUCCCUCCUCCCCCUUUCCUCCUUCCCCCUCCCCCUCCUCCCCCUUUCCCUCCUUCCCCCCUCCUCCUCUCCCUCCUCCCCCUCCCCCUCCCUCCUCCCCCUCUCCCUCCUCCCCCUCUCCCCCCUCCCCCUUUCCCUCCUUCCCCCCUCCCUCCUUCCCCUCCCCCUCCUCCUCCCCCUCUCCCUCCUCCCCCUUUCCUCCUUCCCCUCCCCCUCUCCCGUCUCCCCCCUCCCCCUCUCCCCCUCUCCCUCCUCCCCCUCCCCCUCCUCCCCCUCCCCCUCUUCCUCUUCCCCCCUCCCUCCUUCCCCCUCCCCCUCCCUCCUCCCCCUCCCCCUCUCCCUCCUCCUUAUUUGUCAUCUUUCAAGUCUUUCUUCAAGACCAGAUUCCGAAAUCGCCUUGGGCGGCCCUUUCUGACCCCAGGCUGGACGAGGUGCUUGUGCAUGCCCCCAGCCUUGGGG
ensembl:lncRNA